rnacentral:rRNA from 1 species
GAUGAACGCUGGCGGCGUGCUUAACACAUGCAGGUCGAACGAAGCACCUCUCCCGAAGAUUGCCACAGCUUGCUGUAGAUUGAUUCAUUUGAGGUGACUGAGUGGCGGACGGGUGAGUAACGCGUGGGUAACCUGCCUCAUAGAGGGGGACAACAGUUGGAAACGACUGCUAAUACCGCAUAGUAAGAAGAAUUCGCAUGUUUUCUUCUUGAAAGAUUUAUCGCUAUGAGAUGGACCCGCGUCUGAUUAGCUAGUUGGUAAGGUAACGGCUUACCAAGGCGACGAUCAGUAGCCGGCUUGAGAGAGUGAACGGCCACAUUGGGACUGAGACACGGCCCAAACUCCUACGGGAGGCAGCAGUGGGGAAUAUUGCACAAUGGGGGAAACCCUGAUGCAGCGACGCCGCGUGAGUGAAGAAGUAUUUCGGUAUGUAAAGCUCUAUCAGCAGGGAAGAUAAUGACGGUACCUGACUAAGAAGCCCCGGCUAACUACGUG